UACAGAGGUCCCAAGCGUUGUUCGGAUUCACUGGGCGUAAAGGGUGCGUAGGCGGUCGGGUAAGUCUGAUGUGAAAUCUCACAGCUUAACUGUGAAACUGCAUUGGAUACUAUCCGGCUCGAGGAAUGGAGGGGAGACUGGAAUACUUGGUGUAGCAGUGAAAUGCGUAGAUAUCAAGUGGAACGCCAGUGGCGAAGGCGAGUCUCUGGACAUUUCCUGACGCUGAGGCACGAAAGCCAGGGGAGCAAACGGG
rnacentral:rRNA from 1 species